ensembl:lncRNA
AAAAUCUUUUGUCUGAAGGCUUUGCAAGCCAGGGGUAAGGAGAAAGAGAGAUAAGUCGCAGCUUAAUGACCGGGAAGCAGUCUUUUGUGUGGGCUUAUCUCGAGGGAGAUAGCCGUCUCAGGGGGUACUGCACAUGGCUCUUACCCAAGCGCCCCAGGACGCCACGUUGGCAGAGGAAGAAGGAUAAAAAGGGGACCAACAACCAAGAGGACAGGUUUUCUGACAACAGAUUCCUCAUGACGCGAUGCCUGCAUGCUGAAGAAGAGGUGUCUGACAUCAGAAGCCUCGCGAGCUGAUGCCGGCAUGCUGACGGACUCUCUCCUGUGCCUGCUACCUGAGACCUGCUGCUUCCUCCUGGACUUACCCUGCCGCUCCUUCCUGGUACCUGCUUGCUGCUUAAGACCGGCCACGCUGCUGCUGCUCUCCCCUGCGCUUUUGCGUCGGAACGUCGUGCAACGGGACGCUGCUGGAUCCUGGGGGCUGGCUGAGCAUAAGGAGCUGGGAGAAGACAGAUCCAGGAUAGCUGACCUAAACUGGCCAAAGGGAUAUUCCAUAUCAUACGGGACCAUGUGAAAACACUAUAAAACUGAGGGGAGUUGGCUGGGGGGCCGCCACUACUCAAGGACUGGCUGGGCAUUUGUCGGCAUGUGGUAUGAGACAGAUUGGUUUGUAUUUUGGACAUACUAAAGGCCCUGCUGAAGACUGUAAUUUUUUUCUCCUGUUUUACUGACUAUAAUUGUUGUUUUUGGGAGCUGUUGUGCUGAAGAUUAUUCAAAACAGAAAUUUAUAGCAAUUAACUUUUUUCUUUGGAUGAUUCAUCAAUCAUGAAUGGCACUGAAUGACUAUCAGACUUGCAAGAGACCUCUCAGUAACCUAUGGAGUCAUGGAAAUACCAACUUUCAGCAGACGAAGUAUCACUAGGCUUCAUUUGUUUCUAGCCUACAGAGACAUUCACCUCCAAGCACUGUCUCAGGCUUUUGGAUUUCUUAAGUCUACUUCCUUGAAGUUAUUUAUACUGUUUUUUUCACUUCAUACAAAAUAAACCUACCUUUAGCAUCCUUGAGCACUUCUGGGUUCUAGAAUCAUUAAAUCUGGAGGAAGUAACAUUUUUAUGGAAACAAACAAACAAACAACAACAACAAAAAAACCCUAUACUAUCUCAUCUUUAAACCAUACUGAGAGGGAAUAAAAGAAAAAAAUGAAGUCUGUAAGUGACCGGUUAUGGUUUUACAUCUAUUUACAAACAAAAAGAAAUGAAUUCUGGGUAAAACAAAGAGAAUGAACUACUCUAUGAAGUUCUUGUCACCAAGAAAUAUCUUAGCAUAGAUUUAUCUAUCCCAGGAUAUUUCCAGUGGAACAAUCAUCAGUUUUGUGAUUUCUUCAAAUCCCUGAGUAAGUAGGAUAUCUUUUUUACAGAUUUACUUUAUGCAAUUUUGAAAAAAAAAAAUAUGCAAGCAGAAGUAAUUUCUUCAGCACAUGGAAUGAUUUCACACAAGGACCCUGCUACUCCAGAUCGGGUAGCAGAGGUCUGCAGUGUCACACACAGGUUACAUUCUUUUGUAAAUGGCAAUGACACUCCAACUAGCUUUUUCUUACCUCACAAAAAGAAUCAGAUCUGAGACACGUUUCAGAUGCCCACUAUGUAUUCCACACUUACUAGCUGAUGUUUUUGAGAUUGUACCACAUGUAAAAUUUAUUAUCUUGAUGUUUAGUUAUAAUAAAAAAAUA